rnacentral:rRNA from 1 species
GGGGAUAACCCCGGGAAACUGGGGAUAAUACCCCAUAGGCCAGGGACGCUGGAAUGCCUCCUGGUCGAAAGGUCCGCCGCCUGAGGAUGGGUCUGCGGCCGAUUAGGUUGUUGUUGGGGUAACGGCCCAACAAGCCUUUGAUCGGUACGGGUUGUGAGAGCAAGAGCCCGGAGAUGGAUUCUGAGACACAAAUCCAGGCCCUACGGGGCGCAGCAGGCGCGAAAACUUUACAAUGCGAGAAAUCGUGAUAAGGGAACCCCGAGUGCCCGUAAAUUCGGGCUGUCCAUCAGUGUAAAAAACUGGUGAAGAAAGGGCCGGGCAAGACCGGUGCCAGCCGCCGCGGUAAUACCGGCGGCUCGAGUGGUGGCCACUAUUACUGGGCUUAAAGCGUCCGUAGCUGGAUUGUUAAGUCUCUUGGGAAAUCCGCCGGCUUAACCGGCGGGCGUUCAGGAGAAACUGGCAAUCUAGGGACCGGGAGAGGUGAGAGGUACUCCAGGGGUAGGAGUGAAAUCCUGUAAUCCUUGGGGGACCACCUGUGGCGAAGGCGUCUCACUAGAACGGCUCCGACAGUGAGGGACGAAAGCUGGGGGAGCAAACCGGAUUAGAUACCCGGGUAGUCCCAGCUGUAAACGAUGCGCGUUAGGUGUAUCGGUGACCACGAGUCAUCGAGGUGCCGAAGGGAAACCGUGAAACGUGCCGC